UCACAGAUAUAACCAAUAGUUCUUCAGUCAAUAGAUGUUAUGAUUACCAAACUGGAAGAGAGAAGACACUGUCUUGUACAAUGCCUAGACUCAUUUUCCUUAAAUGAGAAAAGGAAUGGGCUUGGCAUUGUAGUUCUUACACCUACUAGAGUAUUAGCUCUUCAAAAGCAUUUGUAUAUGUGGUGAUGGAAACAGAGAGGGAAAAAUUCAAGACUUUAUCAAAGGUAUAGAAAUCAGUGUUGAAAUUCUUGAAAGACUGGAUGAUCUGUAAAUGAAUAACUCUGUCAACCUGAAAACCUGAUUUACUUGAUCUUAUACAAAGCAUAUAAGAUGCUAGGCAUGGAUUUUAAUGCCAGAUAAUGCAAAUUGUAUUAGAUGUAUGUUCAGACAGACAGACAAACAGACUCUUAGGGGAAGUACAGCUUGGCCAGACCCUAUCCAUUGACUUGCACAAUCUUACUUAUUAUAUAUGUACUUUGGACCUAGUUGAUGCAAACACAGUGAAACAAAAUAUAAUUGUUACCACAGGUGAAGGGAAAUAAUCUUUUAGCCAAAUACUCCUAGAGAACAUAUCUCCCAAAUACAAAGUCAUCAUGUUUGUCAGCAAAAAAGUUGUUUCUGAUUAUUUCCCAAGUGAUCUGAGUGACCCAGGCAUACCAGAAUUUCUUUAUGGCAAUAGAGAACAGAGAAAGGAGGGUAAGCAUUAAAGUACUCUAAAAAAGGAAAAGUGACAAUACUGAUUGCUACCAGUCUAGCACCCCAAGUUCGUAUUGUUCAUAAUGUCACACUCAUCUAUGACUUCCCCCAGAACAUUGAAUAAUAGGUCCACUGAGUGUGGUGUUCCAGAAAAGCAGAAAUGACAGGAAUAUCUGUUACCUUUAUCACUAAACAUGAUUGGAAGAUUGCCACAAAACUGUUUAAAAUUCUGAAAAGAGAAAAUUAGAAUAUCCUGGAUGGUCUUGUGUCAAUAGGUGAAAAGUAUAAGUUAUAUAAGCAAAUAAGCAAAAAGGAAUAGAAAUAAGAUUAGUAAAACUCAAGGAAAACCCAAGAAGUUUUCUUGAUGUUUAUAUGCAAAAGUGGACCAGGCCAUUGGAGAAUUCAAGAUUUCUUUUAAAAUAUAUAAUAUUUAAGAUAUAUUUGGAAGUACUGGAAGCAUACUGGCAGUCUGAAGAGAU
rnacentral:lncRNA from 1 species